rnacentral:rRNA from 1 species
AAAUGAAUUGACGGGGCCGCACAAGCGGAGGAACAUGUGGUUUAAUUUCGAUUGAUUACGCGAGGAACCUUACCUGGGCUUAAAUGGGGAGUGACAGCUGUCGAAAGAUGGUUUUCUUCGGACACUCUUCAAGGUGCUGCAUGGUUGUCGUCAGCUCGUGCCGUGAGGUGUCGGGUUAAGUCCCAUAACGAGCGCAACCCUUACCGUUAGUUACCAUCAGGUUAAGCUGGGGACUCUAGCGGGACUGCCACCGUAAGGUGAGAGGAAGGUGGGGAUGACGUCAAAUCAGCACGGCCCUUAUGUCCAGGGCUACACACGUGUUACAAUGGCCAGUACAAAGGGCAGCUACCGGGUGACCGGAUGCUAAUCUCUAAAGCUGGUCUCAGUUCGGAUCGAAGUCUGCAACCCGACUUCGUGAAGCUGGAUUCGCUAGUAAUCGCGCAUCAGCCAUGGCGCGGUGAAUACGUUCCCGGGCCUU